CCUACGGGCGGCAGCAGUGGGGAAUAUUGCACAAUGGGGGAAACCCUGAUGCAGCGACGCCGCGUGAGUGAAGAAGUAAUUCGUUAUGUAAAGCUCUAUCAGCAGGGAAGAAAAUGACGGUACCUGAGUAAGAAGCCCCGGCUAACUACGUGCCAGCAGCCGCGGUAAUAAGUAGGGGGCAAGCGUUAUCCGGAUUUACUGGGUGUAAAGGGAGCGUAGACGGCAGUGCAAGUCUGGAGUGAAAGGCGGGGGCUCAACCCCCGGACUGCUCUGGAAACUGUACGGCUGGAGUGCAGGAGAGGUAAGUGGAAUGCCUAGUGUAGCGGUGAAAUGCGUAGAUAUUAGGAGGAACACCAGUGGCGAAGGCGGCUUACUGGACUGUAACUGACGUUGAGGCUCGAAAGCGUGGGGAGCAAACAGGAUUAGAUACCCCGGUAGUC
rnacentral:rRNA from 1 species